rnacentral:lncRNA from 1 species
UUGCCUCUUUUUUCAUUACUUAAAAUGGCAUAGGAAUUCCAAAUUGGAAUUACUUUCUAGUCCUAAAUUGUCCUUUUAAUAUAGUCUUUAGUUUGGAUAUUGCUGACAAACGCUCAGUUUAAAUGAAACAUCUGUUUGUAUGAGGCAUUGAAAUUGAAAACCACUGUGAAAGGGGAUACCACAGCUAACCUGGCAACCACAAGCUUUUGUAAAAAGGAGGUGAGUGAAACUAUCAGAGAAGUUAUGGAACGUUAAACAUUAUGUAUUGUGGUACAUAUUUAUUCACUUCUCUAAUUAGAUGCUGCAGCAGAAAAGAGGAAAGGUACAGUGCCAAACUGAUUCUGCAGUCACUGUUAGAUUAAUAAAGGAUGAGCCUGGGGGCGGAAGCGCUUCUUAAGUUAAAGCAAGUGUGGACAUUUUUAUAUCUGAGGAAAUUCAAUGAAGGCGACAUCUUCCAUUUGCAAUCAUCUUUUGUUUUAAUUUCAGCACUUUUGAAACAAGAUUCAGUUGUGUUUUAAUUUCCUUUUGUUUCAUUUGGAUUUUGUUUGAAGUCAUUAGGGAGUGAAAUAUGCCAGCUGCACUCCUCUGCAUGUGUUUUACAUACAGAAGGUUCAGAAGUGCUUCUAGAAUUCCAGAGAUUCAACUAAUAUAUAAACUGGGAGAGGAGGGGCAGGCUCUGGGAGCCCCUCUCUGCCAUCGUCUCCUGAAUGUGCAGCAGAGCAGUUCCAGUCCGUCCGGGAUGCUCUAAAGUAUUUAUUCCUUUUGGGAUACAUGAUGAGAAUUCCCAAGAGAGGUAGUUAUAAGGUAUGACAUCGGGAAAAAAGCCUGUGGUUGGAAUGUUGUUGCUGUCAAAAGUUAAUUUUUCCUUCUUUCUUAGCCAGUAGUUAACAUUUUGCUUUAUUUUUGUGGUAUCGGUAUUUUAUUGUUUAAAAAAUUGUUUCAAAAUAACUUCAGUGGUCGCCCACCAGUACCUUGUUCAGAUUUGCCUAUUUGCUUGUAGCUAAAAUGUUCACAUCUUGUUUAUCAUUCUAUUUAAGAAACUGCUGCCCAGCCAACUAAUAACUGAAUAUCCAUCUGUGUAGGACACGGGGAGAGGAUUUAGGUAAUGUCUUUGUUUGCAGAAAAAAGUUCCAGUGUAGUUUCUAAAUAGAGGAGAAGUGGAUGAAGACUCGGGGCUCUGAUGCCAUUGGGGCACCCCAAGGUCCCCAGGAGAAGGAGCCCCAUUGGGGUGCAGGAGCAGGUGUGUUCUCAUGUAAUAUAGAAUAAAUUAUAAAUAUAAAUAUGACA